UUUUAUGGAGAGUUUGAUCCUGGCUCAGAGUGAACGCUGGCGGCGUGCCUAAUACAUGCAAGUCGAACGAUGAAGCUUCUAGCUUGCUAGAAUGCUGAUUAGUGGCGCACGGGUGAGUAACGCAUAGGUUAUGUGCCUCUUAGUUUGGGAUAGCCAUUGGAAACGAUGAUUAAUACCAGAUACUCCCUACGGGGGAAAGAUUUAUCGCUAAGAGAUCAGCCUAUGUCCUAUCAGCUUGUUGGUAAGGUAAUGGCUUACCAAGGCUAUGACGGGUAUCCGGCCUGAGAGGGUGAACGGACACACUGGAACUGAGACACGGUCCAGACUCCUACGGGAGGCAGCAGUAGGGAAUAUUGCUCAAUGGGGGAAACCCUGAAGCAGCAACGCCGCGUGGAGGAUGAAGGUUUUAGGAUUGUAAACUCCUUUUGUUAGAGAAGAUAAUGACGGUAUCUAACGAAUAAGCACCGGCUAACUCCGUGCCAGCAGCCGCGGUAAUACGGAGGGUGCAAGCGUUACUCGGAAUCACUGGGCGUAAAGAGCGCGUAGGCGGGAUAGUCAGUCAGGUGUGAAAUCCUAUGGCUUAACCAUAGAACUGCAUUUGAAACUACUAUUCUAGAGUGUGGGAGAGGUAGGUGGAAUUCUUGGUGUAGGGGUAAAAUCCGUAGAGAUCAAGAGGAAUACUCAUUGCGAAGGCGACCUGCUGGAACAUUACUGACGCUGAUUGCGCGAAAGCGUGGGGAGCAAACAGGAUUAGAUACCCUGGUAGUCCACGCCCUAAACGAUGGAUGCUAGUUGUUGGAGGGCUUAGUCUCUCCAGUAAUGCAGCUAACGCAUUAAGCAUCCCGCCUGGGGAGUACGGUCGCAAGAUUAAAACUCAAAGGAAUAGACGGGGACCCGCACAAGCGGUGGAGCAUGUGGUUUAAUUCGAAGAUACACGAAGAACCUUACCUAGGCUUGACAUUGAGAGAAUCCGCUAGAAAUAGUGGAGUGUCUGGCUUGCCAGACCUUGAAAACAGGUGCUGCACGGCUGUCGUCAGCUCGUGUCGUGAGAUGUUGGGUUAAGUCCCGCAACGAGCGCAACCCCCUUUCUUAGUUGCUAACAGGUCAUGCUGAGAACUCUAAGGAUACUGCCUCCGUAAGGAGGAGGAAGGUGGGGACGACGUCAAGUCAUCAUGGCCCUUACGCCUAGGGCUACACACGUGCUACAAUGGGGUGCACAAAGAGAAGCAAUACUGCGAAGUGGAGCCAAUCUUCAAAACACCUCUCAGUUCGGAUUGUAGGCUGCAACUCGCCUGCAUGAAGCUGGAAUCGCUAGUAAUCGCAAAUCAGCCAUGUUGCGGUGAAUACGUUCCCGGGUCUUGUACUCACCGCCCGUCACACCAUGGGAGUUGUGUUUGCCUUAAGUCAGGAUGCUAAAUUGGCUACUGCCCACGGCACACACAGCGACUGGGGUGAAGUCGUAACAAGGUAACCGUAGGUGAACCUGCGGUUGGAUCACCUCCUUUCUAGA
rnacentral:rRNA from 1 species